AAUCUUCCACUAUCGGCGAAAGCCUGAUGGAGCAACGCCGCGUGAGUGAAGAAGGUUUNUGGUUCNUNAAACUCUGUUGUAAGGGNCUAACAAGUACAGUAGUAACUUGCUGUACCUGUACGUUACUUUAUUAGAAAGCCACGGGUAACUACGUGCCGGCAGCCGCGGUAAUACGUAGGUGGCAAGCGUUUUCCGGAAUUAUUGGGCGUAAAGCGCGCGCAGGCGGUCCUUUAAGUCUGAUGUGAAAGCCAACGGCUCAACUGUGGGGGGUCAUUGGGAACUGGGGGACUUGAGUGCAGAAGAGGAAAGUGGAAUUCCAUGUGUAGCGGUGACGUGCGUAGAGAUUUGGAGGAAAACCAGUGGCGAAGGCGACUUUCUGGUCUGUAACUGACGCUGAGGCGCGAAAGCGUGGGGAGCAAACA
rnacentral:rRNA from 1 species